GAUGAAGAACGGAGCGAAAUGCGAUACGUAGUGUGAAUUGCAGAAUUCAGUGAAUCAUCGAAUCUUUGAACGCACAUUGCGCCCUUUGGUAUUCCAAAGGGCAUGCCUGUUCGAGCGUCAUUUGUACCCUCAAGCUUUGCUUGGUGUUGGGCGUCUUGUCUCCAGUCCGCUGGAGACUCGCCUUAAAGUCAUUGGCAGCCGGCCUACUGGUUUCGGAGCGCAGCACAAGUCGCACUCUUUUCCAGCCAAGGUCAGUGUCCAACAAGCCUUUUUUCAACUUUUGACCUCGGAUCAGGUAGGGAUACCCGCUGAACUUAAGCAUAUCAAUAAGCGGAGGA
rnacentral:misc_RNA from 1 species